UGAUUACUGCAUUCAGUGGAAACGCAUUCUUCAAUCGAGUUUAUCUUUGAUGUCAUCUUUGCAUCGUUAUCAUGACAAUAUGAAGUUUGAGACUCUUGGGACUCUUGGAACUCUUGGGACUCUUGUGACUCUUGGAACUCUUGGAACUCUUGGGACUCUUGUGACUCUUGUGUCUUCUCUUCAGGACCCUCGAGCAGAACUUUGGAACUGAAAGAGAAAAAAUAAAUGCAAUGGUAAAGAGACAUGCAAUGAUACUCGUAUUAAAGUGCAUCCUAAUGUAUAGAAGAAAGAGUGUAACCUGACGUAUGCACUUGCAAAAUAUUUGCAUUCUGAUUUCAUCGGACAUGCAUUACAGUUAGGAAUAACCUUCGUACAGAAAACCUGUGGUUUACAAGAUUUAGUCCAGAUGAGUACUGAUAUGUAUUUAGCUGAAAAAUAUCAUAAUGAAAAGGUUUGUUUGUUAGGUGCACCUUUCCAAAUGUUAUCAUCUGAUAAUGUAACUCGUACCUAUAAGAAUAAAAGUACUAAGAUGAUCAGUA